GAUGAACGCUGGCGGCGUGCCUAAUACAUGCAAGUCGAGCGAACAGAUGAGUGGCUUGCUCCUCUGACGUUAGCGGCAGACGUGUGAAUAACACGUGGAUAACCUACCGAUAAUACUGAUAUAACUGCGGGAAUCCGGAUCUUAUCCCGUAUGAUCUAUUGAACCACAUUGUUCAAUAGUGAAAUACGGUUUUGCUUGCACUUAUAGAUUGAUCCCCUCCUCAUUAGCUAGUUGGUAAGGUAACAGCUUACCAGGGCAACGAUGGGUAGCCGACCUGAGAGGGUGAUCGGCGCCAGAGGAAGUGAGACACGGUACAGAGUCCGAGGGGAGGCAGCAGCAGGGAAUCGACGGAGAUGGGCGAAAGCUUGAAGGAGGAACGCCGCGUGAGUGAUGAAGGUCUGCGGAUCGUAAAACGCUGUUAUUAGGGAAGACCAAAUGUGUAAGUAACUAUGCACGAGUGGACGGUACUGGAUAAGAAAGCCCCGGCUAACUACGU
rnacentral:rRNA from 1 species